AGCACGACCAAAUUCUGAAGAAAAUGCAUCCAAUUCAACAAAAAAAUUGUUGGCAAGAAAUCAUCACUGCCAUCAGUUGACAUGAGACACUUGGAGGAAGCACAUUCUGAAGAAAAGGCAUCUACUUUAACAAAGAAAAUUUGUGGCACAAAGAAACCCUCAUUGCCAUCAGUUCAAAACGUACACUCAGAGGAAGAACCUCCUGAAGAAGGGGCAGCCAUUUCUAAAAACAAAAUGGGUGGCAUUAAUAAAUCCUCAUUGCAAUCAAUUAAAAAAGGAAAAUCCAGAAGGCCCUGGUCAAAGACUGAGGGAGACAUUGUUGAAAGCCAUUUCAAA